AAGGACGUUAAUCGAACGGACAAAGCAGGGCGAGUCACAAGGUUGCAUUGUGCGCACAAAAACCGGGAGAUAUGAACGAGGAGAUUGACUGUUCAGUAAAGACAGGAGCGCCCGAUGAUUCCCAAGCUGCGGUAUUUUGCUUUAUAUAGAGGUAUUGGGGAAGUGAAUGACUUGGAAAUUUCACACGGGAAGCUGUCUUGUGAAGUUUGUGUACACGAUGUGUUACAAAGUUGACUGCAAGAAGUGUGGGAAGACCACAUGGGGUGGGUGUGGGAAGCACCUGACCACUCUCUAUAAGAGCAUCGAGAAGGGCAAGCACUGCACGUGCAACUCGUGGCCUGGCGUCGUCAUGCCCUCGUCGGAGGAGCAAGCAUCGGCUUCAUCUGCCGCCGGAAAGUAGGACGAGAGACCUCCAAGGUGCCACGAGUCCCAGCGUAGUAGCUCAGGUCUUGGGUGGGGCUCAAAUGAAAUAAGAAGCACCAAGUAAUGGAGAGAGAAACGAAGGAAUGUGGUGGAUACCAUCGUGUCCUUUUCUUUUCUCGCACAUCUAAUUUUCGAUGCUUGCCUUAGAAGACCGGCGUGUCGGUAGACAGAGAUUGGAACAAUGAUGGGGUGGUUCGAGCGUGGUCGACGUAAAUUGACCAAUAAUGCUCGAAUCCAGUGUGCUGCUUCGUAAGCAAUGUAUAAUAUUCAAAAGUUAAA